AUGUGAUUGUAGUGGUUGUGGCAGGAUGAGGAUUUAAAAACAAAAUCACUUGUUUUUGUAUUUCAUAGGUGUUCAGAACAAGAAGAGUUUUAUCUGGUCCUGAUAUCAACAUUUUCCCCAUUACCUCUUGAUGCGUUGACUACAAGUUCACCCAAAGAUCCUAGACCUUGACUUGAUGCUUUGACUUGAUGGAACUUGGGGUAGCCUUCCCUGAAAAAGUGCCUCUGCCUGGAAGAAUGAGUGCAGAGGAAAGAGGAAGCUGGACAAGGGAAGAAAGCAUUGGAGCCUGGGCCCUUCCAGAGGAAACAGAGUCAUCCUAGUAGGAGAUUGUAAUGGAAUGCUUCAGCUUGUCAGAGGUUUCCAGGAAUCUUCUGCACAAGGAACAGGAGAACCAGUGGAUAGUAUAGACCCUCAGUGAGUAAUGAGAGAAGGUUAUGUUUUACUUUGCAAUUUUUUCCAGAGCCUUUAUCUUGAGUAGCUUCCAUGUGAUUAGCAGUGUAGCAAGUGGUUCAGCAUUUGGUGGAGAAGUAUUAAAAAAAAAAUGAAGCCAGAGGCUGGCUGUGGUGCCUCACACCUGUAAUCCUAGCACUUUGGGAGGCUGAGGCAGGCACAUCGCUUGAGCUCAGAAGUUCGAGACCAGCCUGGGAAACAGUGAGACCCCAUCUCUAGAAAAAUACAAAAAUUAGCCAGGUGUGCUGGUGCAUGCCUGUAGUUCCAGCUGCUCGGGAGGAUGAGGUGGGAACAUCAUUUGAGCCCAAGAGGUUGAGGCUGCAGUGAGCCGAAAUUGUGCCACUGUACUCUAGCCUGCAUCGAUAAAGUGAGACCCUGUCUCAAAAAAAAAAAAAAAAAUUGGAGCCAGAAUAUGUGGGUUUAAGAUCUAGCUCUGCCACUUUUUAGCUGUGUGACCUUCACCAUGCUAUUACAUGUCUCUGAGUGUCAAUUUUCUCAUUUGUAAUAAUUGGAAUAUCGUCUAUCUCAUAACUCCUACUUCAGAUGGUUGCUCAGAUACAUUUCAAAUAAAAUGAAACAAUCAUUAUUUCUCAAUCUUUCCUAAUAAUAAGAAUUGCCUGGGGUUUCUGUCAAACAUGAAGAUUAUAAAGUAUUUACCCUGAGGAAGUCCGAUUUAGCCGAUUCUGUUUGAUGAGCAGAAUUUAUGCUUUUAACAAUAACCAAGAUUUUUUUUUUUUCUUCAGGCAAGUGUAGAGGACAGUGAAAUGAUAGUGCUAUGUUAUGGUAAUGGUAAUGGCAGUGGUAAUGUUAGUUAAUAUUGUGAGAAC
rnacentral:lncRNA from 1 species